rnacentral:lncRNA from 1 species
AAUCUUCCUGCAGUGAGAGAAGAAAGCUUUCCCAUUUUGUUGAUAUGUAGGUCAUGGCUCCCAAGAACUGAUACAAUGUUCAAGACAAUUGCAGUUUUCCCCCUGAAGAAGAAUUGUGGAGAUAUUUUUGUACACCAGCACACAGUUGUCAGUAGUUGUGAGAUGGCCUCCGGGGUUGGUGAACUUCAUACCUAUAAGUGGGAGAUGCCUGCAUGUAAAGCAGACACUCAUGAUAUGGAUUGAAGAGAAAGAAUGAGAAAAAAGAGGAUCGGACAUCCUACGCUGAUGGAGAAAUUGGAGGUCCAGAGGAGAAGCCCUUUCAAAUAAGCAAGCUUAUGUGUUUUGACUUAAUAUUCGGAUAUUCUCAUCAAUGAUUUCCAGAAAGUGACAUUGAUUUGCUUUGGAAACAAUGAUGGAAAAACAGUAAAUGUGUACUGGAAUGCUUUUAGAGUUCUAAAACCAUACUGGAAAAUGUCCGAGCAUUCCAAUGCAACUGUAAACAAUCCCGUGCUGUAUUUAUGGGGGACGGCAAGUCUGUUUUUAAGUCUUUUGCGAUAUUAUUUCUAUGUUUUUAAUUUAUUGAAUUAAAGCCAGAUUUAUUCAAUUAAGAUAAUACACUUCAAGGUUAACUGCCAUUUGCUGUUCAUUUAGGCAAGCUAUUGUACAGUUAUGUAAAUUUCACGAACAGAGACACUACUGGAGUGUCUUAAUUACAAGCAAGAAGUGUCAUUUAAAUAUGAAUUAAGUGAAUAGUUGCCUGUAUUUCCUGUUUCUGUAUUUUCUUCUUAAAAUCCAAAGGCUAUCCAGUGAUCCAUACAUUGGUCUAAGAUUUUUCUUUUUCCUAUGAAAGAAAAACACCCCCCCAAAUCAAUAUUAUAAAAAAGAAGUAGGAAAACAGGUAAAAAUUCUGUGUGUCACAUAAAUCCAUACUUAGAGUUAUAUACGAUUUUUCCCAGCUAGUGGGGUAUCUAGCUGGUGGUCCUUCUCAUAUUGUUAAUAAAAUUUAAAAAUUAUUCCAGCCUAUAGGAGAGGGGAUCACUUGAUAUAUGUCAUUUGCUUAUGUUCUCUAUGUGUGUAAAUUCCUUUUUUUAAGAAAACACUAUUUUAAAACUAACCAUUGGUGAUGCAU